rnacentral:rRNA from 1 species
UACGUAGGGUGCAAGCGUUGUCCGGAAUUAUUGGGCGUAAAGAGCUCGUAGGCGGUCUGUCGCGUCGGCUGUGAAAACUCGGGGCUCAACCCCGAGCCUGCAGUCGAUACGGGCAGACUAGAGUGCGGUAGGGGAGACUGGAAUUCCUGGUGUAGCGGUGAAAUGCGCAGAUAUCAGGAGGAACACCGGCGGCGAAGGCGGGUCUCUGGGCCGUAACUGACGCUGAGGAGCGAAAGCGUGGGAGCGAACAGG